rnacentral:lncRNA from 1 species
AGAAAAACUUCAAAGUUUAAUUUCUCUCCCCCUUCUUCUCCUUCAAUUUCGUGCUCCUCCUCUCUCUCUCAUUCUUUUCCUCCAUUGAAGCUUCUUCUCUAAGCUUCUUAUCCAAGGCACUCUCUUAGUGGUGAAACUCCUCCUUCCAUGGCUUAUUCCCUAGUGGAUGACGCCUCCUCUCACCUCUUCUCCUUUAUCUUCCGCUGUAACUCCAUUGUUGAAAAUCACCAUUGAAGGACCUCAUUGAAGCUCAAAGAUCCAGCCUUUAUAGAAGUUUCUCAAGCAAGCUUCCAUCGAGUGGUAAUCAGGCCACAAGAGCUUCAAGUAGGUGCUCCUUAAACCUCCAUUAACCUCCAUUGUUGCUUCUUCAUUUUUCUCCAUGUAUUUCAUCUCAUGUCUUGUGUUGAAUGUUGUUAACAUGAUUCUUUAGAAUUUCCACCAAUUAAACUUUCUAUAGAAGCUAGAUUUGAUUUCCUAUGGUUCAAAUUUCUUGUUCUUGUUCUUGAAUCAUAAAUUGUAUUGAGUUUAAGUUCCGUUGAUUUUUAUCUUGCUAUUUUUUGUGGCUCAAACUUAAACCUUAAAAUUCUUACAAAAACAUUAAAGUAGAAGAAAACCUCAAAAAUCUAGAGUGACAUGUUCACCUAUUGUAGUUUUUUCAUAGAAGUCAUGUCUAGUCGUGAAACUUGUCACAUAAGAUUUCUUAUGUUGUGUUGAAUUUUAUUUUUCUUAUUUCUUUGUCUAACUCAUUUGUUCGUGAGUGUAUGAAAUUUUUUUAGCCUAUUAUUUGACUUAAACAUGUUCAUGCAAAAUUCUUAGAGAGUCUUUGAUUGUGAACCUUUUCUUGAACUUUUAGGUUUCCUUAUGAUUGUGUCUAUUAUGAAUUUGAGUUUUGGUGAUUGAAUUGCUGGCUAAAAUUUUGAUCCUAAGUGAAUGUUAAACUCCUAAAACUAUGGUAAACAAGCCUAGUGAUUUUAUCAUACAUAGGAAAGUUGAAAGUAAGCCUAAGGCAAUCAAUAUACCAUGCUUUAAAAAAUUUGAAGGUUGAUAUCAUUGGUGUUGGUAGCAAGAAUAUAUGAACUUGUAAAAAUUACUGCGAAUUGGUCACUGCGAAUUUUGAGCUAAAAGUUUUACUGAAUUUUCUAGACAUCUGGAGCCAAAAUUAGAAAAAAGAACCAAGUUAUUUGGAUAAAAUCAUACAAGUUGGCAAGAAAAUAAGUGUCCAGGAAAAAUAAAUAAAAAAGUGAAAGAGGAGUGUGCUUGUUGUUUUGUUGAAAACAAGUACCCAAACUAGAGGUUUCUUGAGUCUUUUUUGUUGGAUCAAGUGGCCUCGGAAUAAUUAAGAAGGGGGGGUUGAAUUAAUUAUUAAUGUGCCUUGUGUAACAUCCCAAUUUUUCGUAAAUAAAUUUAAAAAGAUUUUUAGUAAUAAAUAAAUAAAUAAAUAAAUAUAGAGCAAAUAAUAGGCUGAGUACCCUAGGUAUAAAUAGUUAUGUUAAGUCAGCUGCCUCCUUUUGGCCUCAUUUUCGUUUUUCCCCUUCUCCUCUCAAAACCCUUUCUUUUUCCCGCAGCCCACCAAACCAGUCUCAGAAAAACGACGAUCUCGAACCCGUUCACCGUUGGAUCGUCGUGAAAUUUGAGUAUCAUGUUCGCAACACAAUUCCGAGCAUUCUCACCGUUGGGAAUUUCGAUAUCAUGUCUGAACUAAGAGAAAAACCCUUCGCAUUGUAGCCUUUUUCUUUCCCGCAGAAACCCAGAGCUGUCUUGGUAAAACUACGAUCCCGGUUUCGUUAACCGUUGGAUUAUUGUGAAAUUUGGAUAUGUUGUUCGAAAUUCAAUUCCGCACGCUUCCACCGUUGGGAUUUUUGAGAUAAUAUUCGUGGAGGGAGAAAAAGGAAUCGUAUGAAGACAGUAUAAGUGGAGGUUUCAAUCUCUUCUCCGUCUCUCUAACGUAUUAUUGUGAAAUUUGGAUAUGUUGUUCGAAAUUCAAUUCCGCACGCUUCCACCGUUGGGAUUUUUGAGAUAAUAUUCGUGGAGGGAGAAAAAGGAAUCGUAUGAAGACAGUAUAAGUGGAGGUUUCAAUCUCUUCUCCGUCUCUCUAACGUUUGGGAAUUCUAUCGGAGCAGUCGGAUGAAUAAUUGAAAGAAUUUCCGGGAACCGCUAGAGAUGUUGCUAUCGCUGGCUGAAGACACGUGAGCCCGCUUAGAGGUAAGGGAUGAGUUAUUCACAGUUGGGGAUUAGUGAGAACAUGUGUAGGGAUCCUUAGAGGAUUAAAUUGGGAUUUUAUAUUGGGAUGUUUGUUAAAUUGCAAUUUUUCCUUUAUGAUUAUAAAUAAAAUAUUGAUGUCCUGAUGAAAAUUGCUUGAUAAAUUGUGCUCUUGAUAUUUGUAUAUUUGGACCUAUGAUUUGGAUAUAAUUGUGUAAUAUUAUUUGAGGGAUUUUAGUCCUCAUGUUGUGAUAGUCUUUUAUAUAAAUUGUUAUAUUGAGGAUAUGAAAUGAUAAUUCAAAUUGUGAGUAUGUGAUGAAUUGUUGAAUAACAUGUUGCUUUGAGAUUAUAAUAUUGUUAUUGAGAUUGAGUAUAAGUGUAAAGUUGAACAUGUGUUAAUUUGUGAGAUACGUGUAAACAUGUGAUGGUGGAUUGUGACACUAUGAGAUGUGAAAUUGUGAAUGAGUUCUAGUUGUGGAUAAGUGUGUAGUUAACACUUGAUGUGAAAUUAAUUGUAUUGUAAGCUAUGAAUUGUACAAUACCCGACCAGCGUUAUCUUGAGAAAAGCGUUGAUGCGCAGUGUUAAAGAGAAAAUGUAGGUUUCCUAUUUAGGAACCAGUGUUAAAUCGUAGCGCAAUUGUGUUGAACGUGUUUAAAACACGAGUGUAGGUCGUGGGUAUUGUAUAAUUCAUGAGCAGUGUCUUCUGCAUGUAAAAAAAAUUAUUUUAGGGGUUGGACCUGAAUCAGGAGGGAGAGGCCCUGACGGACUCUUCAGAGUGUAGGCCUUGGGGGUCACCGGGUUUGAGUGCUCCUUUAAGCCUAUGCUGAUCUCAUAUGGUUGGAGCAUUCUCGCAAAACAUCGUGACCCUGACUGGUCUCCCUAUGAUCUUACUUAGUGAGAGUGACCUGACAAACCCAUUGUGUGGUGUGUCUUGUUAUGUACUCCUAAGCGCCCCAGGGUGGUUUUUCACUGACAUGGUACCACAUUGCAUAUAGAAUUGAGUCUUAGCAUAACUAUUGCAUAUGCUUGCUAAUUGAUGUGUUAUUAUAUCUUGAUCGAAGUGUGGGAUUCUUGUGUAAUGUGAUUGAUAAUUGAAAAGUGAAUUUUGAAUGACGAAGUGGUGAAGUUACGUGAGCUAUGUUUAAGCAAGUGGUAUCUCAUUUAUAUAAUAUGUAUAUUUAAUUGUCUUGUUUCUCUAUUAGCUAGGAAUGUGAUAACUCACUCCCUGUGUGUUGUUGUGUUUGGAUCCUGUGAUGAUCUUGAACUUGUGUUCGGGGGAGCAGAUGAAUAGGUGGAUGACUAUGAAGAACCUCAUGCUAGAGGACACGGGAACACCACGCUCUGAUAGGAUGUGACAUUAGGAUAUAGGUUCUAUAUUAAUUGUAUGAGACUUAUAUGACUUUCUUUGAGUCGAGAUGACUUUAUUAUUUAUUUGGACAAGUUUGAAUAUGAUGUAGAAGAAAGUGAAUGUGAG